rnacentral:lncRNA from 1 species
AAAAUUUUGCAAUUGUGCAUAGGCAUUUGGUAUGACACCCUAAGAAUGGUGUAAAGGACCAAAUAGUUUCAGAUCCUGUAUCCCUGAAUUGAAGUGGGAGAAAUUUGAGAAAGAGCCAGAUCUUAUACUCCUACAUUACAGUGGGAGGAAGACGGUUCAAAUUUUAUGUCCCAAAAUUUCAAUGGAAUAAACCUUGAAGAUUACAACGGAUUGAAGUUUG